rnacentral:rRNA from 1 species
AGCGAACGCUGGCGGCAGGCCUAACACAUGCAAGUCGAACGAACUCUUCGGAGUUAGUGGCGGACGGGUGAGUAACACGUGGGAACGUGCCUUUAGGUUCGGAAUAACUCAGGGAAACUUGUGCUAAUACCGAAUGUGCCCUUCGGGGGAAAGAUGUAUCGCCUUUAGAGCGGCCCGCGUCUGAUUAGCUAGUUGGUGAGGUAAAGGCUCACCAAGGCGACGAUCAGUAGCUGGUCUGAGAGGAUGAUCAGCCACAUUGGGACUGAGACACGGCCCAAACUCCUACGGGAGGCAGCAGUGGGGAAUCUUGCGCAAUGGGCGAAAGCCUGACGCAGCCAUGCCGCGUGAAUGAUGAAGGUCUUAGGAUUGUAAAAUUCUUUCACCGGGGACGAUAAUGACGGUACCCGGAGAAGAAGCCCCGGCUAACUUCGUG